AUGAUGCGAUUAAAAUUUUUCCUUUCUCUUUGGAGUGUUACAAGCUCUUGGUGCAUAAAUAAGAUCUGUAAAGUUGCAAAGACUAAAGUCUCAAAUACAGAGAUAUUCUUUAUAAAAGUUAAGUCUACGUCUCGAUGUGGGAAUAUUUGCAUAACGCCAUCCAAAUGUUCACACAAAGAAAGAAGGCGUAACUUUCAUUCUCUCUGUUGCCACUGCUGUCAUGUUGUGGAGAUGCUGUGUGUUUUGUCGUGAAAGCGGAACUACUUUGUUUGGUCUUCAAAAAGAGGACACAACUAGAAAUCAGUGGUUAAGUUGUAUUUACACUUCCAGAACACUUCCAGAACAGUUCAACCUCAAAUAUUCAGAUGUGUGCUGCACAUUUUAUGGAGGAUGAGGACUGUUUCCAGAAUCAGUAGCCUACAAUGUGUCUGUGGCACAAAGGCUGUUUCUAUAAAGUUGGGCAGUUCAAACUUUGCAAGGACAGUCUAGCGCUUCUGACUCACAGCCUGUAAGUAUGUUUUUAAUAUUUAAAUAAUUUCACAAUGAUGAUUCAAACGUGAGUUCUGAGCAGUAGAGUAGGCUUGUUGUUUGUUGUUUAUAAUCAGUAAUUAUGUCCCUAUUGGAUGCCUCGUUUGCCUCGUUUGUAAUGGGUUUUAUUGGUUUUGUCUCAUCUAGUGAUGUCCGGAUCGCGAACAAAACGUUCUAUUUAACCGGAUCUUCUUGGUGAACUGCUCGAACCAGUUCACCAAAUCUAUCAACAGUUUGCAUCUCCAAGUAUGCACUAAUCCACAAAUUACUUAAGUUAUUUGGUUUAUAAAUGUGCCUUACACUCCCUCUGAUGCAAAAUAAACCAAUAUCCCGAGUUAUUCAGUGACUCCUAACAGUACACUGACUGAACUGCUGAAAGAGCAGCGAUGAUGGGAUGUGCUCGAGCAGAGCAGCUGGACUGAGUCUCGUGCUGCUGGGACACAGAAUCACAGUAUAGUAAGGGGCGUAAAAUUAUGCACUGAAUAACUGGCCAAUCAGAGCAAACCUCGCUUUUUAGAACGAUGAGCUUUGUAAAAAUCGAUGCGUUUCAGAAGGCGGGGCAUAGAGGAGAAACAAUAAUGUACAUUAUAUGGAAAAUAAUGUGUUUUUUUAACCUUAAAGCGCAUAAACACAUUGCAUUACACCAAAUCUACAAUUAAUGUUCUUUUUAGCAACAUCAUAUGACCCUUUUAAAGAUCUUAAGCCUGCAGCAGUGAUCCUCAUACUGACUUAAAACUGUUCAUUUUGUACUGAAAACGAUUUGAACUUUAUUAAAACUAUUUGCACUGAUUUAUUGUGCUGGUUACAUUUUGUUCCUUUGUGCAGUGGCACAGGAGAUGAGUCUUUGAAUCUGUAAAAACCUCAACAAACUGAAAAAAAAGAACAGUUUUAUGAGGUAAUGUGUAAUGUACAUUUUUUUUUUAAGUUAUGUGAUCUUGUUCAAAUGGAUUUCAUAAAAUUGGUUCCAUUUGUAUGCAUGUGGAUAUAGUGCUUAAUCACAUUUUUUGACAAGACUAAUUAUGAGCCCCUGUUCGAGUGGGUAAUUAGUGUUGAGUGGCG
rnacentral:lncRNA from 1 species